GAUGAACGCUGGCGGCGUGCCUAAAACAUGCAAGUCGAGCGGUAAGGCUUUGCACUUAGUGUUUGAUCGAGAUAAUUUAUUAUCACAGUUAACCAAUCGGAACCUUGGCGGGGGAAGUGCGGAAGAGGAAGAUCGAAUUAUAAGUGUAGAGUACACGAGCGGCGGACGGGUGAGUAACACGUGGGAAUCUACCCCAAACUGAGGGAUAAGCACCGGAAACGGUGUCUAAUACCGCAUAUGGUCUUCGGAUUAAAGCUUCGGCGGUUUGGGAAGAGCCCGCGCAAGAUUAGCUAGUUGGUGAGGUAAAGGCUCACCAAGGCGACGAUCUUUAGCUGGUUUGAGAGGAUGAUCAGCCACACUGGAACUGAGACACGGUCCAGACUCCUACGGGAGGCAGCAGUUAGGAAUUUUCCACAAUGGCGCAAGCCUGAUGGAGCAACGCCGCGUGCAGGAUGAAGGUUUUCGGAUUGUAAACUGCUUUUAUAAGUGAAGAAUAUGACGGUAACUUAUGAAUAAGG
rnacentral:rRNA from 1 species